AAAGAGUUAAAAAUUAAGAAAGCAAAUAUUAUGGAGGAAUUACUUUACUUUUUAAAAAGUAAGAUUAGACUUGUAAAUUUGUCUAAACUUCAAUAAGAUAAUAGUAAUUUACUCAAAUUUAUACACAAAUUUAUGAAGAUUUAGAUAUUAUUUUGACAGAAAAAUAUUGUUAUUAAUAAUUAAUAAGAUUAACAAAUUUGAGCAAUAUAAUGGUAUUAAUUAGUAAAAGAUAUAUUUUAAAUAGAUAAAAUGUCCAUUGUGGCUCAUCGUCUUAUUGGUAAAAAAAAAAAUCAUAAAAUUAGCUUUUAAAGAAAAAAAAAUUCUCCCAUAUAUACAACCAACCCGAACAAAAAACUUUUGCAUUGGCGAUUAAAGGCACGCCAACGCAGCAGAAGAAUAUACAGAAACUAGCCGUUGGCGCUCACAAAAUCAAAUGUUUAUAUUGUGGGUCACAACACAAAGCUGCCCUUUUUUCUUCAUUAAAGACACAGACAAACAAAUCUCUUCUUCUUCAUCCUUAAAAAUACCCAUUCUCUUUCCUUCUCUCUCUAAAUACUCCUCCCUCUCUCUCUCUCUCUCUCAACACUCCUCUAUCUCUCUCUUUCUCUGAUGCUGUUUGAAAAGCUUGCCGCAUUGUUCUUAUCUUGAGAAUUCCGUGAGUAUUGAAUUUAUUUCCUUAAGAUCCACGCUUAAAUUGAAGGAAACGCUGUGUUUCAUGAUCAUUUUCUUUUAUGUAAAUUGGAUACUAUCAUUUUAGAAAUGGCAGGUUUUACCAAAUGUUUUUUCGCUCUGUUACUAACUUUCCUUUCUCUUUUUCUUUAGAAACUUUUGGUGCUGUUUUUUUUUUAUAUAUUAGAGGCUAUUUUUCUUUCUUUUUCUUCUUAGAUUUUGUUGCGAUUGAAUUAAUCUCUUUAUUUUGAGACGAGUGUAUCGUUGCUUAAUCUGGAUCUGUUGUUACUGUUUAUCAAAAUUGUAAAUUAUUAUGACAAUAGACAACAAAGGAGGCUUUUCAUAUUCAAAAAAAUUGGGUGGAAAAUCAGGAUGUAUAUAUUAAAGUAAAUCACUUGAUUUUGUAGUUUCCUUUUGUAACUUCAUUAACUGAUCUUUUGAGUACUGGCCCGGGUGCAGACGGCACAGAGAGACUUUACAAUUAAGAUUCUUGAUUAGAGAUGAAUAAUGGAAAUGUCAGGGAUCUGCUGAAUUCAGAAUCAGGUCGAAUUCUAGAUGACCCAGAGGCAUACGCAUUUCUUUCUUUGUGUUGGUGUAGCUUCCUUUGCCGCUGCAAGCAUUAGAGUAACAGUUUAUUAACCUUUCUGAAAUCACCCAUGAUUAUCAAAAUUUCGAAGACCUUGCUAGAAGUGAAACAGCUUCACAGACAUGCAGAUGGGGCUCAGAGAAUAUCAUUAAGAUAUUAUAUGCAUUAAAUGGGAGCAUGGCUUGAUUUUACUUUACUAAGUUGCUGAAACUAUAAGAGGUGCCGAUAUUGCAAGUUUUGGAAAAUGAGAUUGAAAACAGAGCACCGGAAAAUGAAGACUUCAUUUCAUAUCCGGUGCGACCCAGCCAGAGUCUGAGAAAGAGAAUCCUACAAAAAGUGAAGAAUGUGGAGACGUUUCAUCACGGGAAGGAACUCCAGGCUAUUGUCGUUCUAGUUCAGUUAAUAUGAAGAAAAUGCAGCAGAGGAGAACGUGAGAAGCAUAAGAACUUAUGUGACAGAAUUGAAGGAACAUGUUGCCAAACUGCAAUACCACAAGCAGCUACUUGUUUGCUAUUAUAGUAUUGGCAGUUCAUUUGGUCCUCUACUACUAUAUUGGCCUGUUAUUUUCAUUUGAAUUUAUGUAGUAACUUAGUAUCAGGAAAUUCAUUUUCAUAUUCUUCAUGCUGGAAGCAAAUGAAGCGGCAUUUGGCAAUUCAAGUCCCGCUCCUCGUGCUGGAGAUGAGCUUACAAUUUCUCUAUCGUCAAGUAACUCGAGCAAUGAGACGUGAAAGAGAGUUUCUUGCAAAGAGGUUGACUUCACGUUUAAAUGCCGACGAGAGAGAGGCGCGUACAUGAAAUGAGGAAGCAGAGGAAACUGCAGUUUGUGAACAAAUCCACAUAUACACAUGAAAGUGCUGAGAUAGUGUGGCACUACCAACAGAUAAGAGACCCUGAAUUAUGGGUGGAACCCAAUUUCAAACCUUCUACAUUUGUGAGAAUUACAUUUUUCAUUUGAAGAGGGUUUGGAUAUGGCAAUCAAGCAAGCAUUUCCUCUAUUGAUUGUUUGAUACCAGCAGGUUUAAUUAAUCUUUUCUCCUUUCCUGCCAAGAAUACCAGCAACGUUAGUAAAUUUCUUGUAAUUUUUCUGCAACUUUACAAAUUUCUAACAGUGUGGAUAAAGACAACACUAACUGUGCAAUAAAAUCUGAGUUAUCAAAUGUUUGUUUGUUACAUCUGCGUCUUAGUCAAGUCUUUUAAUUGACUGCGAUCAUUUGUGUUAUAUCCAUCACAAUUAGAUAAAUUUGCUACUUUCAGGACAUUGUUGAAGAAGGCUUCAGGACCAUCUAUCCACGAGUAACAGGUUGUUUCUUUCCCAGUAUUAUCUCUAUUUCAAACUUGUCAUCUUUACUUUUCUUCUUUUUUAUAUUCUUUAAUGAGUUCAAAUUACAUUACUAUAUUAUAUAAUUGUAUAAUAUAGGAUCUGAAUUGAAACAAACUGUACUAUUAAAAAAACCUAACAAAAUUUAUUAAAGAAAGCAAGUGGAUUUUAACUAAAGAUAAUUAAAAUUUCUAUUACAAUGGUCAUAAUUGACAUGAUAUUGUUUGAGCCAUUUGAUAAGUAUUUGUAAUAGUAACGCACUGAAAACACUUUAUUUUUGUGUCGGGUUAGCUUCCUUUGCACCGCAAGUAUUAAAUUAACAGUUUAUUAACUUAAAAUAUUAUUAACUUAGCUUUAGUAUUAUUUUUAUAUUGAAUGUUUCUUUCUUAAUUUGCUUUUAAUCUUUUUCAUUAUAUAAUUUGUUUGUUUAUUGCUUCUUAGUUAAUUUCCUUUACUAACUUAAAAUUUUUUCAGAGUGACAAGUUCUACUUACCUGAUUUAGAGAUCAUAACUGAUCUUUUUUGGACUUUUAGAAUUAGUUUUAGUUAAUUAAUUAGUUAAAUUUCUUAUUUUUGAUGUUUUUAAGCCAUGAUUAUAAUUAAUUCCUCCCCUUAAUCGCCCCGAUCUCCUUAAUCCUUUUCUGGAUUUCUCUUUUCUCCUUCCCCCUUCUAUGUAUGUUUUAUUUUAUUGCUUCUAGGUUUUCACCACAUAUAUAAGGGAUUAAAAUCAACUUAAAAUUUAUGGGUGAUCACUCACAUGCUUAUAAGAUGAACAUGAAUCCAGCACCUAGAUUUAGGUAAUAAAAUUGUAUUCACCUUGCUUGUAAAGAUAAAAUUUAAGAUACCAAAGUACCUCCUGCUAGGGCUAAUUGGGGUACCAAUUAGGUCAAAAUUUGUUUGCUCAUCUCACAUUAGAUAAGAAAUGGUUCAUGCUUUAAAAUAAGUAGAAUUGACUAGAUUAAAAUGUAAAUAUUCAUUUACUUUAGUGGAAUCUGCAGAUAGGGAUGCCUCAGACCUUCUCUAUUCUUACUUUACUUUUCGAACCUAUAAUCUCUAGCUCUCUAUAAGUGAUACCAACUGUCUUAUUUGUCCUGAUAUUUUGGGUCGCGAUUCUAAAAAACAUGAUAAUUGUGGUCCUCUAUAGGUAGAGUGAAUAACUCAUUUUGAAACGAACUUGGUAGUAUGAAGAGCAAUUUCUCAAUACAAUGACGAGAUAAAAUACCACCUAUAUAGCCAAGGCUAAAAUCUAUUUGCACUCAUACAUUCCUACUACAUGUGAAGGCGAUGAAAAAAAUUUCAUCUCACAAAAAAUUAAGUAUUAACUGGUUAUUAAUCUAAUUAAUUAAUAUAACAUAUUUCAAAUCUUUAACCUAAUUCAAUCAUAAAUCCUAAAAGAAAAUACUUGUUCCUACUAAUCUAGUUCAAUCCUAAUCCUAAUCCUAUAAGAUAUUCAAUUACUAGAGUUCGUAAGCGCUAGUAGGUUUUUAGCCCGACCCCAAUGUCAAGGAAUUGCUCUUCAAUACUAGGCCCAUUUUAAAAUUAGUCAUCUUGUCAAGGGACCUAAGAAACUACAAUGAUUAUGUGACUAUCGAGAAAAGGAGUCGACACUUUAAAAUGUCAGUGCAAAUAGUGUUUGUAUCUCUUACGGAGCCUAAGUUUCCCCUCUAGCAUCAAAGAUAAUGUGUUUGGAAAGUCUACAAAUAGAUGAAUAUUUUCCUAACCCUAACAAGAGUACUUUAACCUAGGCCAUCUACUCGUUUUAAGCACACACCUCGUUAUCUUCUUUCUCAGGCAUUCAGAUCAAUGCGGUGGUUUAAAUACUUCCUUGGUUGACUAGCUACACUAAAUUAGAGUUAUUCGCGCGUUGUUCAUCCUAUACGAAUUCCUCUUAAGCUCGGCCUACAUUGGAAGCACAUUCCCUUAUUUUCACUUCAGUGUUGUAUCCAUAUUGGCCCACAAAUCUCUUAGCACAUCUUUCCAAUCCUCUCUUUAUUUUUUCAUCCAACUACUAGUACCAGCGAGGCAGUAGCUCCGAUCAAAUAGCAUACUUGAAUGAAGCAUAAAGAUAUGCUAACUCAUUAAGCAUUUAAGAAAAGACUGGAGAUCCCCGGGACCGUCGAAUUUCUUAAAGUUAGAGACAUUCACCUUUCCCUUUGAGGUAUUCCUUCCCAUCCAUCCUUUCAUCUUGUCCAUUUGUUUCAUCAUUUUCUCAAGUCGAGGAUUUUUAGUGAAAAAGCGAGAAGAAUCAGCACUUCAUUGUCAUUAUCAGCAAACUCAAAAGGACCACCAUUUCCUUUGUGCUUUACCACCAAAGUAAUGGGUGGUUGUUGAUCAGCAAUGGCGUUGUUAGUGUUGGUAGGAACAGUACCAUUGACGGUUUCUUAUGGCCAAGAAUAGUUUUAAAAGAUUUAACUAUUAUUGCCUUCGUGUCCAUCAAGUCAAAAACAUCUAUUCUUUCAUCACUGUAUGCUUAUAGUGUUUAUAGAUCUCAUUAAGUCUAGAGUUGAACUGGUGCUUGAUCUUCUUUUUUUAAAUAAUUCAAAUCAUUAUACAUUCUUAUCCCGCGUCGACUUGGGCAUAUUAGGAAAAUCCAAUUGACCCUCUAAUCGAAUCUCAUCUUUUAGCCAGCUAAAUUGGCCUAUCAAUAGCUUCUAUUUCACCACUAGUUAAAGACUCCCAGAGUACACUGGCCAUAACUUUGAUUUCAAGCUGAGCUCCUUGAAUUUGCUUAAACCUAAGUCUUUUGAGCCCCUAAAUCCAAUUUAUAUUUUCCCCCAAAUAUUAAUACCCAUUAUUUCAAUUCUACUAUUUAAAAAAAAAAACUAGUUCUAAUAAAUUCUAGGACAAAAGUAACAAAAGAAAAUUAGCACUAAACUUUUUAAUAGUUCAACUUUUAUGAAUUAGCAACAACAUGUUUUAUGGUUACUAUCACGGUUAAAAUUUGUGCAACCUACAUUUAAUCUGUGUUUUGUUAAAGAUUUCAUAAGAAAUCAUCACAAUUAUAGAUACAAUUAUCGUUAUAGGGUCAUGAGCAAAUUCUACAUUAAUGCAAUACAAGGAAAAAUAAAAUAAAAAUAAAGCUCCUGAAUUAAGUUUUUUUUCUCAGUGUCUCCUAUGAGCAUAAAAGGUUGACAAUAUUCAUGAACUACUUGAUAGUUUUCACUAAUACCAUAAAAUUAACUCUGAUAGUGUAUAAUUAAAUGAUUAUAUUGGUGCUUAAUCUAAUAGACAAGAUUGUAG